rnacentral:rRNA from 1 species
AACGUAGGAGGCAAGCGUUAUCCGGAGUUACUGGGCGUAAAGCGCAUGUAGGCGGUUGGGUAAGUGGCGUGUGAAAGCUCCCGGCUAAACUGGGAGAGGACAGGUCAGACUGCCGAACUCGAGUCCGAUAGAGGGGCGUAGAAUUCCGGGUGUAGCGGUGAAAUGUGUAGAGAUCCGGAGGAAUACCAGUGGCGCAAGCGGCGCCCUGGGUCGGUACUGACGCUGAGAUGCGAAAGCGUGGGGAGCGAAC